rnacentral:rRNA from 1 species
GUGGGGAAUCUUGCGCAAUGGGCGAAAGCCUGACGCAGCAACGCCGCGUGUGUGAUGAAGGUCUUCGGAUCGUAAAGCACUGUCGGGAGGGACGAAUAAGGGUCCGUCUAACAAGCGGAUCCGAUGACGGUACCUCCAAAGGAAGCACCGGCUAACUCUGUGCCAGCAGCCGCGGUAAUACAGAGGGUGCAAGCGUUGUUCGGAAUUAUUGGGCGUAAAGCGCGUGUAGGCGGCCAAGCAAGUCAGGUGUGAAAGCCCUCGGCUUAACCGAGGAAGUGCGCCUGAAACUACUUGGCUUGAGUACCGGAGAGGAUGGUGGAAUUCCCGGUGUAGAGGUGAAAUUCGUAGAUAUCGGGAGGAACACCAGCGGCGAAGGCGACCAUCUGGACGGAUACUGACGCUGAGACGCGAAAGCGUGGGGAGCAAACAGGAUUAGAAACCCGUGUAGUCC